UGAGUAACCUGCCCUUAACUCUGGGAUAAGCCUGGGAAACUGGGUCUAAUACCGGAUAUGACUCCUCAUCGCAUGGUGGGGGGUGGAAAGCUUUAUUGUGGUUUUGGAUGGACUCGCGGCCUAUCAGCUAGUUGGUGUGGGUAAUGGCCCACCAAGGCGACGACGGGUAGCCGGCCUGAGAGGGUGACCGGCCACACUGGGACUGAGACACGGCCCAGACCCCUAGGGAGGCAG
rnacentral:rRNA from 1 species